AUAAAAUAGCAUUCACCUACUCACCUGUUGUUUACAAUUACUCACCUACAUACUUACCUAUUGUUUAGUGUUAAGUAAACUCGCUCGGUGUUUAUUUCACUAGUUUGAUGUUUAUUCGCUAGUUAUGUUGAACUCCUUUUACUGAAAUUAUUUUGGCCAGUCAUUGUAUGCACAUUUAGUUACUGAAUAAACGGGCUUGGUGUUUACAAGUUAACAGGGGCUUGGUGUUUACCAGUUGCUAAGGACUCGGUGUUUUUACAAACAGGCUUGGUCUGUAAGAAAUAAUGAUCACUCGUGAGGAGUAAAGGUCUGCAGUUACUGGAACAGAUGAAUGCCUUUCCAAAUAUUCCAACUUUUGCGUUUCCAUGCUUGAUUAAUGUGUUUGAUAGUAAUAAGUGUACGUGUUUCAAAAUUAUGAGUUAAUUACUCGUUUCAUGAGAGUUUAAUCUAGGUUUAUCGAGGUGUUGGAAUAACUUUACAAGUGAAUUUUUUUUAUGUGAUAUAAUUCGUUUUGCGAGAGUUUAAUUUAGAUUAAUUGAGGAGUUUUACAAUCGGGAUUAAUAGAACUUUGUUAUCAUGUUAUUAUCCAUUGUUAAGUAGUAAUACAUUUGACGAUAAUGUGUGUGUUUGGAUAUGUUACACUUUAUUUUGUCCAAGUUAGCCUAGCUUAAGUCACUGCAGUGAGGAUUGGUAGAACAACUCUGUUUCCAUGGUUAAGUACUGUAUUUAACAGGUAUGAAGUUGCUGCCGUGUUAGCUUAAUGAUUACUUCCGCAGCUUAUCGUGUCAUUGCUUUUUAUUGAAGAUAUAUUGACAGGAAAGGUCGUUGAUCCGAAAACAAAUCAACCAAAUGUGAAGCAUAGUUGGGUUUCAAAUGCCAGAAAGGCUGUGGAUGUUGUAUUUAGUUCAGAACCAUGGACAGUGUCGUGGAGAGCCAAUACCAUUAUGCUGGAAUAUUAUGAGUUAAUUGAGGAGUUCAUGUCUGCCGUCAAGCAGAACUAUGGUGAAAAAGUCCUUGUGCAGUUUUAGAAGAUAUUCUAGAAGAAUGGGCAAUUUAUGUGUCGAAUUUCAUUUUUAGGUAGAAAGUAUUGUAAACCGCAUUUAACUAAUUAUCGGUAUCUAUUUGGACAUGAAUCGUUAUGUAAUGAAUUGGUGACACAUGGUUUCGAUAUAUAUGAAAUGCAUUAAUUUUGUACUA